rnacentral:lncRNA from 10 species
CCACCUCAGCUUCCUGCGUAGCUGGGACUACAGGGCACCAUCAUGCCCACACACAUUGGCUGAUUUUUAAUUUUUUUUUGUAGAGAUAGGGUUAAACCUUUAGACUUACCACGGUUUUACUAAUACCAGAUCAAAGAGGUGCAAGAUAAAUGUUUGCCUUUUAUUGCUUGUCUCUUUUAUAAAUUCUCUGCAUUAAAAAUAUAAAUUCCAAGUAAAAACAAUGGAAUGAACAUAAACUCCCACUUCAUAACCACUCAAACCAUAGUAGCAACAACCUUAUCCUGUUGCCCAGGUUGGUCUUGAACUCCUGUGCUCAAGUGAUCCUCUUAUCUUGGCCUCCCAGUGUGCUGGAAUCACAGGCAUCAGCCACUGCACCUGGCCUAUUACUUAAUCUAAUACAUUUCUGCGCCAAGCCCCGGAAGACAAAUAAUUACAAAUAAUUCCCAUAACAAUGAUAAGUUCAUACAUUCAUUAAGUAAAUGUUUAUUGAGUGCUUACUGUGUAGGUGCUAAACAAAACAGCACAGUCUCUGCCCUCUUAGAGAUACAUUCUAGUGGGUAGAGAUAAUGAACAAACACAUGAUAUAUAGUAUGUUAGACCGUGAAAAGUACAGUGGAGAGGGAAAAAAAAGAGGGCAGGUAGAAUGAGUGAGUACACUAUUAUAUAUGGGAUGGUGACGUAAGGCAUCACUGAGAAGGUGUUAUUUGAGCAGAGACCUGAAGGAUGAGAGGAAGUGGCCAUGCAGAUAUUUGGGGGAAGAAAUUUCCAAGCUGAAGGCACAAUUCUGGAGGUUGGGAAAUCCAAGAUCAAGGCUCCAGCAGAAUUCGUGUCUGGUGAGGGCUGCUCUCUGCUCCCAAGAUGGUGCCUUCUUGCUGUGUCCUCAUGUGGUAGAAGAGCCAAAGGGAAGAACUUUCUCCCUCAAGCCCUUUUAUGAGGUCAUGAAUCCCAUUCCUCCAUGGCCUAAUCACCUUUUAAGUGCCCCACUUCUUAAUAGCAUCACCUUGGGGAUUAAGUUCCAAUGUAUGAAUUUUGGAGGGAAACAUACACUCAAACCAUAGUAGCACCAAAGCAGGAAAAUGCCCACUGUGCUGAGAAUUAGCAAGGAAAGCCAGAAGGAGUGAGGGGAGGCAUGGGAGAAGAUACUGUCAGAGAAGUAUGUCCAGAGCAUAUGGAGACUUGUAAGCCAUUGAGAGGACUGAGGAUUUCAUGAUGAGUGACAUAGGGAGCCACUGGAGGUUUUGAGCAGAGGAGUGACAUGACUCAAUUUACCUUUUUUCUUUUUUUAAAAAAAUUUGAAUUAACGUUAUAUUUACGGAAAAGAUACAAAAAUAGUACAGACAGUUUCCAUAUCCCCUCCACUUACCCAGCUUCUCCCAAUGGUAACACAUUACAUAAUCAUAGUGCAAUGAUCAAAAACAGAAAAAUGAGCAUGGAUUUAUUAAGUAAACUGGAUCCUAUUCUAAUCUCACCAGUGUUUCCAUUCACAUCCUUUUUCAGUUUCAAGAUCAACCCAGGAUCUCACAGUGCAUUGAGUUAAUUCUCUUUGGUCUCCUGCAGUCUGAAUGGUUCCUCAGUCUUGUCUUUCAUAACGCUUACAUUUUCCAGGAAUACUGAUGAGUUAUGCUGUCAAAUGUUCCUCAGUUUGGUCCCCUUGGUGUUUUCUCCUAAUUGCACUGAGGUUCUACAUUUUCACAGAGAUGAAGUUGGGGCCUUCUCACUGCAUCAGGUCACAGGGUUCAUGAGGUACAUGCCUUCUUAUUGGUGAUGUUGACCCUGACCACUUGGUUAAGAUGGUUUCUGUCAGGUUCUUCCAUGAUAAAAUUACUAUCUUUCCCUUUUUAGUUAAUAUAUUGGGAAAGAUAGUUUGAGAUUAUAUAAAUUUUUUCUCAGAUUUGUGCCUACUAAUAUUAGCUUCAUCAGUGACUCUUGUCUGAAAUGAUUUUUAUUGUGGUAUUUGCCUAGUGAUGACUUUUCUUUUUCCCUUUCCUUCUACAUUUAUUACUUGUAAUUCUACUAUAAAGAAGUGCUGUCCUUGUCCCUCAUUUUUUUUAAAGUAAGUACUUGUGUAUAGCCACAUAAGUUCAUGAAUAUUUAUUUUACUCUAUCGGUUAUAAUCCAAUACUGUCUUUAUUUUGUUUCUCAAAUUGUUCUACCUUUGAUCAUUGGGAGUUACUUCAGGUUGGGUUCUGUGUUCUUUGAACAAACUCUACCUUUUUUUUUAAAAAAAAUAUUUUCUUAAUUUCUGGCACCACAAAAAAUUCUAGGGUCAUUUUGUAUUUUCCUUGCCUCAGCCCUGAAGUCAACCACUUCACCAAGGAGCCAGAGUUCUUUUUAUUGAAGAGCGUGUUUUAAAAUCGAGAUCUUGGAAGUAGGUGUCCUCAUUAUUACUGGGGUGUCAUCACACUGGGCCCUCUUUAAAUAACUUUGUUACUUUCACUAUAAGUUUUCAUUAUUUUCUUAGUGGUUACCCUGGGGAUUACAAAUGAACACCUUAAUUUAGAUGAAUGUCAACUUAAUUUCCAUUUCAAAAGUUCCUAUAUAGCUCUGUUGCCUCUCUCUUUUGUAGCAUUAUUGUCAUAUAAAUUAUAUUUUUAUACAUUAUAAGCCCAUCAACAGUGUUAAAAUUCUUAAUGCAGUUCCCUUUCAAUCAUGUAGGAAAAGAGUUACAACCCAAAAUACUUUUUUUUUUUUUUUGAGACCGAGUUUUGCUCUUGUCACCAAGGCUGGAGUGCAGUGGCGUGAUCUCAGCUCACCGCAACCUCCGCCUCCUGGGUUCAAGAGAUUCUCCUGCCUCAGCCUCCUGAGUAGCUGGGAUUACAGGCGCCCACCACAACGCCUGGCUGAUUUUUUGUAUUUUUAGUAGAGACAGGGUUUCACCAUGUUGGGCAGGCUGGUCUCAAACUCCUGACCUCAGGUGAUCCGCCCACCUCGGCCUCUCAAAGUGUUGGGAUUACAGGCAUGAGCCACUGCUCCCAGCCCCCAAAAUACAUUUAUACUUUUAUAUUACCUAUAUAUUUACCUUUACCAGUACUCUUUAUUUGAGUAUUCAUGAGCAUUUGAGUCUAGUUUCAUUUUACCCUAAAGGAUUCAUUCUCCUUUUAUAUUUCUUGUAGGGCAAGUCUGGUGAAGACAGAUUAUCACAAUGUUUGUUUAUAUGGGAGUGUCUUCAUUUCUUGUUUUUGAAGGACAGUUUUUCUGGAUACAGAAUUCUUGAUUGAGGCUGGGCACAGUAGCCCACACCUUAAUCCCAGCACUUUGGGAGGCCAAGGUGGGAGGACUGCUUAAGACUAGGAGUUUAAGACCAGCCUGGGCAAGACAGCAAGACCCCCUGUCUCUUAAAAAAUUUUUUUUUUUGAGUGUGGUGGCACAUGCUGGUAGUCCUAUUUGAGAGGCUGAGGAAAGAGAAUUGCUUGAGCCCAGGAGUUUGAAGCUACAGUGAGCUAUGAUUGCACCACUGCAAAAAUAAUUCUUGGUUGAUAGUCUUUUUCAUUCAGCACUUUGAAUAUGUCAUCUCACUGCUUUCAGGCCUGCAUUGUUUCUUAAGAGAAGUCACUUCUUAGCUUUACUUGCUUCUUUCGUUUGAGAUCUCUUUUUCAACAAUUUGACCAUGAUGCAUCUAAAUGUGAAUCCCUUUGAGUUUACCCUACUUGGAGUUUGUUCAAUUUCUUGGAUACGAAGAUUAAUGUUUUCAUAAAAUUUGGGAAGUUUUGGGCUACUAUUUCUUCAAAUAGUCUUUCUGCUCCUUUCUCUCUCUCUCUCUUCUGGGAUUCUCAUUAUGAUUGGUAUACUUGGCAUUUUGGUACACUUGAUAGUGUCUCAAAGGUCUCUGAAGCUCUCUUCAUUUUUCUUCAUUCUUCUGUCUAUUCCUCAGACUGUAUAAUCUCAAUUGACCGGUCUUUGAACUCACUGAUUCUUUCUUCUGCCAGUUCAAAUUUGCUGUUGACCCCCAUCUAGUGAAUUUUUAUUUCCAUUACUGUAUUUCUCAACUCCAGAAUAUCUAUUUGAUUCUUUUUUAUAAUGUUUGUCUCCUUACUGAUAGUCCUGAUAAUUUGGUGAAACAUCAUUCUCAUAAUUUCCUUUAAUUCUUUAGACUUUGUUUCUGUUAGUUCCUUGAACAUGUUUAUAAUAGCUGAUAUCUAAAGUCUUUGCCUAGUAAGUCUAACAUCUGGGCUUCCUCAUAGAUUGUUUCUAUUGACUGUUUUUUAAAUUGCUGUUUAUGGCAUGGGUCAGAUGUUCCUGUUCUUUGUGUGUCUUGUUUUAAAUACUCUAUCAAUUAUUGAAGUCAGAUUACCUACUCUCCAGGGCUUGCACCUGUUACUAUUUCUUAUUGUUGCUGCUGUUGGUUUGUUCUGUGUCUUUCCUGGACUAAUUCUGCAAAUUCUAUAUGCUUUGUCAUGUUUGGUUCCUGAAGUCUCUACUCAGCCUAGUGGGUAAGCGAAUAAUUGGACAGAUAUUUCUUUCUAAUGCCUUGAACCAAUAAAUUUUCUAGCUUUUGUCAAGUGUGUGCAUGUGUGUGUAUUUGUGGAGUCAUGUCAUUGAUGUGUCAGCAGACAGUUUACAACUGCCUUUAUCUUCAUUUCUGGCAUGAAUUGAGUUUCAAGGUCAGUCAGAGAUGAGAGCUUAGGACCCUCUCAGGACAUGCAUACAUCCCUGCACAUGCACAUGGACUUCUAGAUUCCCAGGAAUAUGCUUGAGCUUGUCAAAGCUCCCGUGGACAUCUUCUUCCCAGAUUUUUCCUUUUAAGUUUCUUGGUCAGCCUUUUGUUAGCUCCACCUGGUAACGCUGCCUCAGGCAGCCACAGGGUUAAUCAGUUGCCACUGAUUAUUCUGCAGGAAGGGCUGUUUUCAGAGUGAGCUCUGAGUUAAGUCAAAUAAAGAUAGGUCCUGAAAAUGGAGCUUUUCAGUGAGUUGCCAGACAAGACAAAUAGAGGCAGUUCUCUAGUAGUGGAGAUCUGGGGGACCUCCAAAUCUAUUCUGUCUCCUCCAGUGGCUACUAGGUUGCUGAUUUUCACAGAUACUAAGAGGGCUGUUGGUUUUCAAGUUACCAUGGAUUAAGAGAGAAGGGCAUGGGAUUAGGGCAACUUAAAAUGCCACUUUCUGCUCUGAGAUUCAGCUGUUUUCCUUUAAUAAACACACCUCAGUUUGUCGCUAUCCAUUAGUUAAUUUCCAAAGUUCUGAAAAAGUUGAUUUUGACAUUUUUGCCAGUCUUAUUGCUUUUAUGAAGAAGCAGAUUUUGGAUGGCUUUUACUCCACCCUUAUGGAAGUAGAAAUCCUUUAGAUAUUAAAAUUAUAAAUUUGUACAGAUCCUUUGGAUUCAAUCAACACCAAGGGGUUCUUUUUAUGGCCUCCUUUCCUGAUAUGCAAACACCUUUUUCCAACAGUGAGAAACUCAGUUCGUAUUAUCUACAACACAGGUAUGUAUUUGUUUGACUUUAGUAUGUACAUAAAAAUUUCGAAAUUGCUAACCCACACCCCUGUGAGAAACACAUUUUCUUGAGUUACUUUUUAAAAAGAUCACUGGCUGCUGUGUUGAGAACUACAGGGAGCAGGCCCCAAAUCAGUGGGAGCAGUUACGUGGUUACUCAGAUUAUUCAGGUUAGAGAUGGCAGUGGCUUGGACCAGAGCAAUGAUGGUUUAGAUCAGGGGUCCCCAACCCCCGGGCUGCAGACCAUUACCUGUCCUCAGCCUGUUAGGAACAGAGUCGCACAACAGGAGGUGAGUGACAGGUGAGGGAGCAUUACCGCCUGAGCUCUACCUCCUAUCAGAUUGGUGGUGGCAUUAGAUUCUCACGGGAGUGCAAACUCUAUUGUGAAUUUGCACGUGAGGGAUCUAGGUUGCGUGCUCCUUAUGAGAAUCUGACUAAUGCCUGAUGAUCUGAGAUGGAACAGUUUCAUCCCGAAACCAUCCCCCUCACCCCACCCGUCCAUGGAAAAAUUGUCUUCCACUAAAUCGGUCUCUGGUGCCAAAAUGGUUGGGGACUGCUGGUUUAAAUGGUGAGGCAUGGUCAGAUUCCGGAUGUUUUGAAAAUUGAACCCAUAGUAUUAAACUGACGAAUUAGAUAUAAGAUGUAAGAUAAAGAAUCAAGGAUAAUGCCAAUUUUUGCCUGAGCAAUUGGAAUAAUGGAGUUGCCAUUAACAGAAGAGAUUCAAGUUCUGGGAGAAAGACUGGUUUUGGUCAUUUUAAGUUUUAGACGUUUAUUAGAUAUUCAAGUGCAGAUAGAUGCCCAGUUAUCCACAGGCAGCUGAAUAUAUCAGUCAAGCAUUUAGGAGAGAUCUGGAUUGGACACAAACAUUUAUGAGUUAUCAGUGUAUAGAUGGUGGUUGUAGGAGUGGUCAGUGCCCUGCCUAUAUCCUAUGAUCCUAGGAACUGCCAGUGUGCUCCUGCCAACUUUCAGCUGCUGCUGCUUUUUUUUUUUUUUUUUUUUUGUCUUUUUAGACAGGGUCUCACUCUGCCACCCACCCAGGCUGGGGUGCAGUGGCACAAAUCACAGCUCACUGCAGCCUUGAACCCUCAGACUCCAGGGAUCCUAUCUCAGCCAAGUAGCUGAGACUACAGGUGUGCACCACCAUGCCUUGCUAAUUUUUUAAAAAUUUUAUGUAAAGAUGGGAUGUCACUAUGUUGCUCAGACUUUCUUUUUAAACUGUGGAAAGCAGCUGUGUCGGUACACAUGGCAAGCCAGUAACUAACAUGUGCUAGAAUAGCCUUCACUCAGUAACCCUGGCAAGUUGUUAUAUAAAUACUCCAGGUCUCUUGCCCCUUAGGUGGGAUAAUUCUGAGGUAUAUAUUUUGCCAAACUCCCCAGAGUCUCCCUGGGGCACCAAACUCUAAUUGCCCACUUACCGUAGCUGGCUUAAUAGUAAACUUUUCAUUGGCUGCUUUCUCUUUCAUACACAAUUUCCCCAAUUUCCUACUGAUUACUUUCACGUGAAGCAUUGUUUUACGCUCUGCUUCUGGGAGAACCCAAACUAAGAUAAUUUAAAGCUAUGAGACUGGAUGAGAUCACCAAAUAAGUGAGCACAGAGAAGAAAAGAGGUGCAGACUCUGAGUACUAAAACCUGUGACAUUGAGGGGCCAGGGAAAUGAGGAGGAAACAGCAAAGGAAACGGGAUGUGCAGGUGUUGCAGGGAGGAGGCAGAGCUGGAUUCCAGUAGGGCUGGGGAUUGUCGGGACAGUUUGAGUACAAUGCAGUGGAGGGUGACAUAAUGAUGAGCCAUGGAAUUUAAGUUGAAUAAGGAGAGAAGUACAGGCAUCAGGGAAACAACCUGUGAAAAAGCCAUAGAAUCAAUGGAUUGAAAUCUCAGUGGGGUCAAAGAAUUGCUGGGGUUGAGGACCACAGGAAAAUUGUAGACACCAUGGGGUUAUUGGAGAGUGAGAUGCUUAAAACUGAGAUUUUGGAGGGGUGCAGUUAUUGUUAUUAAAAGGACGGGGCUCUAGAAUAAGACCAUAGAACUGAGUAUCUUCUCACUGGAGGAAACAAAAAGGGGCUGAGGGAGGCCAAGGUAGGCAGAUCACUUGAGGCCAGACGUUCAAGACCAGCCUGGCCAACAAGGCGAAACCCUGUCUCUACUAAAAUACAAAAAUUAGCCUGGUGUGGUGGUACAUGCCUGUAAUCCUAGCUACUUGGGAGGCUGAGGCAGGAGGAUUGCUUGUAUCAGGGAGGCAGAGGUUGCAGUGAGCUGAGAUGGUGCCAUUGCACUCCAGCCUGGGUGACAGAGCAAGACUCCACCUCAAAAAAUAAAAAAGACUGAGAGGCCAAGGAGUUGUAUUAGACCAUCACUUGGAUAUUGAAAUCAGCAAUGAUUAUUAGUAAUGGGGUGACACUGAACCGGGAGCUAAACUCUUCAACAAAUAAGAGGGAGUGACCAAGCUGGGAAUGAAAGAUAACUGCAACAAGAGUGAAAUGAAGACAGCUUUUUCUUGAACACUUACACAGUAUUUAGUAGGUGGCAAGCAGUUCUAAGCAGUUUGUAAAUAAUGUCAUUCAAUCUUCAUAA